UGGGGAAUAUUGCGCAAUGGGCGAAAGCCUGACGCAGCGACGCCGCGUGAGGGAUGAAGGUUUUCGGAUCGUAAACCUCUGUCAGAAGGGAAGAAACCGCACUGUGCUAAUCAGCAGUGCCUUGACGGUACCUUCAAAGGAAGCACCGGCUAACUCCGUGCCAGCAGCCGCGGUAAUACGGAGGGUGCAAGCGUUAAUCGGAAUUACUGGGCGUAAAGCGCACGUAGGCUGCUUUGUAAGUCAGGGGUGAAAUCCCACGGCUCAACCGUGGAACUGCCUUUGAUACUGCUUAGCUUGGAGCCGGGGGAGGGUGGCGGAAAUCCAGGUGUAGGAGUAAAAUCCGUAGAUAUCUGGAGGAACAUCAGUGGCGAAGGCGGCCACCUGGACCGGUAUUGACGCUGGGGUGCGAAAGCGUGGGGAGCAAACAGG
rnacentral:rRNA from 1 species